ACGGGUGAGUAACACGUGAGCAACCUGCCCUGGACUCUGGGAUAAGCGCUGGAAACGGUGUCUAAUACUGGAUAUGAGCUCUCAUCGCAUGGUGGGGGUUGGAAAGAUUUUUCGGUCUGGGAUGGGCUCGCGGCCUAUCAGCUUGUUGGUGAGGUAAUGGCUCACCAAGGCGUCGACGGGUAGCCGGCCUGAGAGGGUGACCGGCCACACUGGGACUGAGACACGGCCCAGACUCCUACGGGAGGCAGCAGUGGGGAAUAUUGCACAAUGGGCGGAAGCCUGAUGCAGCAACGCCGCGUGAGGGAUGACGGCCUUCGGGUUGUAAACCUCUUUUAGCAGGGAAGAAGCGAGAGUGACGGUACCUGCAGAAAAAGCGCCGGCUAACUACGUGCCAGCAGCCGCGGUAAUACGUAGGGCGCAAGCGUUAUCCGGAAUUAUUGGGCGUAAAGAGCUCGUAGGCGGUUUGUCGCGUCUGCUGUGAAAUCCCGAGGCUCAACCUCGGGCCUGCAGUGGGUACGGGCAGACUAGAGUGCGGUAGGGGAGAUUGGAAUUCCUGGUGUAGCGGUGGAAUGCGCAGAUAUCAGGAGGAACACCGAUGGCGAAGGCAGAUCUCUGGGCCGUAACUGACGCUGAGGAGCGAAAGGGUGGGGAGCAAACAGGCUUAGAUACCCUGGUAGU
rnacentral:rRNA from 1 species